rnacentral:lncRNA from 1 species
AAUAAGAUGCACUACAUAGAAGGAGAGGAAGAUGGUGGAAUAGAGAGGUCACUUCCCUGGUGGGUCUGUGGCAUGAAACCAAGGAAAGCAGAUGGGCAGCUUUUUAGCAAAGUGGGUGAAUAAACAAAAAUUAGGGGGGACGUUACUGAAAUAUAAUACUGGAUACUCAAAACAGAUGGAGGACUCAGGAGGUUGGAUAUAAUAAAUAAGCAAGAACGCCCCUGUGCCACAGCCACAGUUGCCACUGGAAGCACAAACCAGAAUGGUCUCUCCACAAAUGCAGUAAAGCAAUAAGGGAAUUAACAGGACCCCCAUUCUCAGGAGGACUGAGGUGUGUUGGGAUAUGGAUAGUUUAGAGAUCAGAGUCACUGCCUGACUAAAUAGUAAGGUGUGCUGCACAAUAUCCUUGUACGGGAAAAAGCCACCAUCUCUCCCAGUGUAUGUAGAGGGCAGAGGAAGAAACCAUUUUGCAGCCACUACGACGGGGUCGGCAGCUAGGGGAGCUGAUUUCUGGCAGACACGAGUCUGGCUCAAGAAACAAGCUAGG